rnacentral:rRNA from 1 species
AGCUCCAAUAGCGUAUAUUAAAGUUGUUGCAGUUAAAAAGCUCGUAGUUGGAUUUGUGGUGUGUCUAGUCGGCCUUUGCUCUUUGAGUGAUUGUGCUGUACUGGUCUGCCAUGUUUGGGUGGAAUCUGUGUGGCAUUAGGUUGUCGUGCAGGGGAUGCCCAUCGUUUACUGUGAAAAAAUUAGAGUGUUCAAAGCAGGCUUAUGCCGUUGAAUAUAUUAGCAUGGAAUAAUGAUAUAGGACCUUGGUACUAUUUUGUUGGUUUGCGCACUAAGGUAAUGAUUAAGAGGGACAGUUGGGGGUAUUUGUAUUCCAUUGUCAGAGGUGAAAUUCUUGGAUUUUUGGAAGACAAACUACUGCGAAAGCAUUUACCAAGGAUGUUUUCAUUA